GGAAAUGACCGCCGACUACCCAAGCUACCGUUCAGCUUUAGCCCAAUUCUCUCCCAUGAGGUCCUGACUCCCACCAGGAAGUGUGCCCUGACUUCCCCACCUAGCAGGAUCACGAGGUACUGUAAUGCUCCUGUGAGUUCCAAGAGAAGGAUGAGUGGGGACCUUGUUCCCAGUCAAGCUACAAGUCAAGACAAACCCCAGACCACCAGCUGGCUCCAUGAAAGGAUAACACCCGGGCACACUGGGAGCUGAGCUACAGACACCUCCUCGCCCAGCGUCUCCCUACUUGCUGGUCAGAUGCCACUAUGGUGACCCAAGUGUCUGCAUUCCAGCCCGCUUUGCUGUGGAACAAUCUUGACAUUAGAAAUCAUCACAUCCAUUUGAUGGAUUAGCCAAGUGAGACUCAAAGAGAAAUUAAGGCA